AACGCACAUUGCGCCCCCUGGCAUUCCGGGGGGCAUGCCUGUCCGAGCGUCAUUGCUAACCCUCCAGCCCGGCUGGUGUGUUGGGCCGCCGUCCCCUCCGGGGGACGGGCCCGAAAGGCAGCGGCGGCGCCGCGUCCGGUCCUCGAGCGUAUGGGGCUUUGUCACACGCUCUGGUAGGCCCGGCCGGCUUGCUGGCCAACGACCUCACGGUCACCUAACUUCUCUCUUAGGUUGACCUCGGAUCAGGUAGGGAUACCCGCUGAACUUAA
rnacentral:misc_RNA from 1 species